rnacentral:rRNA from 1 species
UUUAUUGGAGAGUUUGAUCCUGGCUCAGGAUGAACGCUGGCGGCGUGCCUAAUACAUGCAAGUCGAGCGAACGGAUUAAGAGCUUGCUCUUAUGAAGUUAGCGGCGGACGGGUGAGUAACACGUGGGUAACCUGCCCAUAAGACUGGGAUAACUCCGGGAAACCGGGGCUAAUACCGGAUAAUAUUUUGAACUGCAUAGUUCGAAAUUGAAAGGCGGCUUCGGCUGUCACUUAUGGAUGGACCCGCGUCGCAUUAGCUAGUUGGUGAGGUAACGGCUCACCAAGGCAACGAUGCGUAGCCGACCUGAGAGGGUGAUCGGCCACACUGGGACUGAGACACGGCCCAGACUCCUACGGGAGGCAGCAGUAGGGAAUCUUCCGCAAUGGACGAAAGUCUGACGGAGCAACGCCGCGUGAGUGAUGAAGGCUUUCGGGUCGUAAAACUCUGUUGUUAGGGAAGAACAAGUGCUAGU